rnacentral:rRNA from 1 species
CCUACGGGUGGCUGCAGUGGGGGAUAUUGCACAAUGGGGGGAACCCUGAUGCAGCGACGCCGCGUGGGUGAAGAAGCGCCUCGGCGCGUAAAGCCCUGUCAGCAGGGAAGAAAAUGACGGUACCUGAAGAAGAAGCCCCGGCUAACUACGUGCCAGCAGCCGCGGUAAUACGUAGGGGGCAAGCGUUAUCCGGAUUUACUGGGUGUAAAGGGAGCGUAGACGGUGAUGCAAGUCAGAAGUGAAAGCCCGGGGCUCAACUCCGGGACUGCUUUUGAAACUGUGUGACUGGAGUGCAGGAGAGGUAAGCGGAAUUCCUGGUGUAGCGGUGAAAUGCGUAGAUAUCAGGAGGAACACCAGUGGCGAAGGCGGCUUACUGGACUGUAACUGACGUUGAGGCUCGAAAGCGUGGGGAGCAAACAGGAUUAGAUACCCCAGUAGUC